GCCAGUGUUCAGACUACCUGUUC
rnacentral:miRNA from 1 species